ACUGUAAUGCAGCCGAAGCCGGUUCAAAGCCCGGAUUGAGAAAUGCAGAGGACAGA
rnacentral:ribozyme from 2 species